UGUGAAAAUCGCGCUUAAUCGCGCGAUUAAUCGCGCUUCGCGAGUAAGCGAUGGUUCCGCGAGUUGCGUAUGAGCGAUUUAGCGCGAUUUUGAAAUUGUCCAAAAAUCGCGUUUAACUCGCGAUUACUCGCAAAAACUCGCCAAAACUCGGAAUAAAAAGCGCAAAAACUCGCAAAAGUAUAGGAGGACUGAAAUACCCUUAGGUUAAAAAAAAACUACUUAUAUCUUCAUAAGUUAUAAACUACUUCCUCACAACUUAUUGUAUAUCAGCCGUCAUUUUCACUCAGGUAUGUCCUAUCUCUCUCUGUCUACUCUAUCGAUCUCUCUUCAUCUUCACAUCUCUGUUUCUCUCGAUCUUCUCUCUUCAUCUCUCUAUAUUUCUUUGAUAUCCUGGCCUUAAAUAUAUAGCAUAUAUGCUAAAUUUUAUAUACUAUUUACAGUGUUUGUUAGGUGUUCGAUUAAAUUCCCCUUAGAAAUUACUCUUUUAAAAGUUACUGAUCACUUGAGCCAUAGUUAAAGAUGACUUGAAAUGUUGAUAUUGGGUGGAAAUUUGGGAAUCCAGUUCAUGUUACUAAAUGUUAUUGAUUGAUAAUAUGAUAGUUAUGUGAUAUUUCCACUAUGUUGAAACUAUUAUUUUUGUUUGAAACUAAUAUUAGAAGUAACAUUCUCGAAAUUUUAUAAUUAUAUAGAUAAUUUCAUUUUUGUCCAAAAAUCGCGCGAGUAAUCGCGCUUCGCGAGUUGCGCUUCAAAAUUGGAUCUUGCGCUUUUUUUAUUUUGCGUGUUUCACAACACUGACCAUAUUGGUAAUAUUUCUUUCCCUCAAUUUUUCAUUCAAGCAUUGUUUUGACAUUUUCUUAUGGUUCAAUGGUUUAUUAGAAUUAUAACUCUUGGUAAAGUUUUUUGCUUUUUAGUUAGUGAAUUAUAUAGUAAAAGCUGUGAUUGGAUUUUAUUGGUUUUAUAUUAUAACAUUCAUCUCAAUUGCAUUGUUGUUAAUUUUUUGUGUCGAUUUCUAAGGCUUGAUUACUUUUCCGGAAAAACCAAAGCCAUGUGUAUUUCUGAUAUAUUCUUGACAAAGAAGAUCUGGAGGAGAUGAAUAUUUUAUAGAAUAUGUUUAACUUGAUUAGAUUAAUGUGCUUGAUGUAUAAUUUUUUCGUAUUUAAUAUAGUGAUUUGUUUUAUCAAGUGGAAACACUCGGAUAAGCAUAGGAAAGCUUAAAGGUGUUUAGUCAGGAAGAAAAAAUCAGUAGAAAGAUUGAGUUGGUGGAAAUAAAUUGGAGAAAGGCAUUUGAUGAGUCAAUUCAGUAUCUCCUCCAGUGGCAAAACAAGUGAGAACUUCUUGAACUUCAAACACGAGGAAUGACGGGGAAGGCUAUUUGCACCCGUCUAGUAAUUUUCAGGGCUUGGAUUGAAUUGGGGCUUCACUGGAACUAGAGCUUCAACAGCUCUUAACUUUAAGAGGCGCUUCGGUUUUCUUUGAUUUAAGCAACUAUUACGGAACUUCUAUUGCUGACUACCACCGGAGCUGCACAAAAUGUCCGUAUGAUCUAUGCAUCGCUUGUUGUCGGGACUUCCGUGCUGGCUCUUUGCAUGCAGGUCAUAUGAGAAGCAUUAACCAAUAUAAAAACCUCAGGGUGGGCUAUUUACAUGGUGAAACAUGUAAACUUUGUAGCAAUAGAACUGUGGGCACAUCUACUGAAACAUCCCCUGAAGGCAAGACCUGAAUGGAGACCUAACAAGGAUGGUAGCAUCUCUUGUCCACCUAAGAGUAUUGGUGGGUGUGGUGGUAAAGGGAUUCUAAAGCUGAACCAAGUCUUGCCAGACAGUUGACUUUCAAACAAGAUAUUGAAAGCUGAAGACUUGUAUGAACUGUAUAAUCUGGAUGGCAUGCCAGAAGAUCCCAUACACUGGUGCUCGUGUUAUAAUUUGGCACGUGAUAACACGGCCACAAAGAAAAUAAGGAAAGCCACUUCUCGAGAAAACUCUGAUGACAACACUUCUACUCUCCAAGUUCUAUAGACAUUCAAGCUGGGGAUCAGAAGCAUUUUCAGACCCAUUGGUCAAAAGGGGAACCAGUGAUUGUUACUAGUGUGCUUGACAGUACAUAUGGUUAAGCUGCGAACCAAUGGUGAUGUCUCGAGCAAUCCAUGAUAAGUCCCACACCGAUGUGACUUUCUUAAAUUGUUUGAGCUGGUGCGAAGAGGAAUAUAGCCCAAGUUCGUUCUUUAAAGGCUAUACAGAGGGUAUACUUGACUUGUCUGGCUGGCCCCAAAUGCUCAAGUUAAAUGAUUGGCCUCAAUCUGGUUCGUGUGAGGAUCAUCUCCCACGUCAUAAUGUGGAGUUCUUAAGUGCUUUGCUGUUCAAGGAGUACACACAUCCACAGAGCGCCUACUUGAACCUUGCUGUCAAGUUACCCGAGGCCAAUCUGAAGCCAGACACAGGGCCAAAGCUGUAUACGCUUAGAUAAUGCACAAACCACGCCUCUUGGCAGUAGUAUGUGUAGUUUGAUUUUUAACUUACAAUAGAAUUAAAAAAUAGCUUUUGAUUUCUAUAUUUGCACAUUUUUGGAGCUGAAAGAUUCAUACAUACUCCCUCUGUCCCUCUCAUUUCUUUACACUUUUUUUACAUUGUUCGAUACGCAUUUUAAGGCGUAUAUAAAUAUAGUUUCAUAACUUUUUUCCAAAAUUUUUCUUUUUUGUAUAAAAAUUUAGAUAGUAAACAUUUUUUCAGAAGAAAAGAAUUCAAAAUAAUUUGUCAAGCUAUAUUUUAUAAGAGCAUUGAAUGCGUGCCGAGCCCCCGUCCCCCAAUGUAAACAAUUGAGGGCGAUGGAGGGAGUAAUAGCUUUCCUCAGUUGUUUAAACAUAUACUUGCUUCUAUCAGGCAAUGGCUACCAGACUCUGUACUUUUUGUAAUUGGAAUCUUGUUUCUGUGAGUUUGGCUUGAUUUUAACUUAUGUUAUGGCCUCUAUUUCUUGGUUUGUUUGGACUUUGGAUGCAAUAUCUCUUACCUAAUUUCCUGUCCAGUAAAAUGCUGGAGACUAUUAUCCUUAGAAAUAGUAACAAAUUUCCCGAAGCAUGCAUCAGCCUGUCAAUCCUUGUUACUAAUUUUGCCUUUUGAAUCCUAAUUCUGACCUGCAGGUUGGUUAUGAAAUGAUAUUGUAAGAUAAUUGUUAAGUUAACUGACAGAGUAUCCUUCCCAAGUUAGUCAUAAGCUAAAACAACUUGUGCCAGAUGUGUCGUAUGAAUUCAACUGGCUUGGAUUAUGAUUUUACCAUCUGAGCACUUUUGAUCAAAAUGUGCAUUACAUUGUAGGAAUAUUUUCUUUACAUAAAUCUGACACUGAGGGAAAUGAGCUGCCUCAUCUGGUUUAUGUUUCUCGUGAAAAGAGGCCUGGAUUCGAACACCACAAAAAAGCUGGUGCUAUGAAUCCUCUUGUAAGUUUAUUACCCACUACAUUAAUGCAUUUUCUGUCUUCAUCUUGUUUGAAGUUUGAGUAAGUUUUAAAGUGUAUGUUAGUAUAUAUUUUAUUUUCCCUUGUUGACGCGUAUCAUGUGGUCUUCUAGAUUCGAGUCAUCUCUAAUGCUCCAUUUUAUUUAUACUUUAAUUUACUUCAUGUUAUUCAAAAAAAUUUCUUCAUUUGAUAUGCUUGGGUAGCAGUGUAGUAUUGUCGAUGUGCUAUGAAUUCUCUUGUAAGUUUAUCACCCACUACAUUAAUGCAUUUUCUGUCUUCAUCUUGUUUGAAGUUUGAGUAAGUUUUAAAGUGUAUGUUAGUAUAUAUUUUAUUUUCCCUUGUUGACGUGUAUCAUGUGGUCUUCUAGAUUCGAGUCAUCUCUAAUGCUCCAUUUUAUUUAUACUCUAAUUUACUUCAUGUUAUUCAAAAAAAUUUCUUCAUUUGAUAUGCUUGGGUAGCAGUGUAGUAUUGUCGAUGUGCGUAAAAAUGUUGUUUUGGUUUGGUUUUGGUUCUUAUAAAAUGGAUUUGGUUUGGAUAGAUUAACCAAAACCAUUUCCAAACUAUAUAUUAAUAAAUGUGGUUAUGGUUUUAGUUUGAAUUAUGGAUAACUAGUUUAGUAAGUAAAAAUAAGUAUUAUAUAAUGAACAAAAGUUAAUACACUCAAAUCACAAUAUAAUGAAUACUAAAUAUAACAAAAGUGUGUGUGAGUGUGUGAGUUGAUGGAGUGGUUUAAGCUCUUGGCUUCUCCAAGUAAGGUCAUGAGUUCGAAUCAUCGGAUGGGCAUGUGUGAUAAUUAGCAAAAAGAAAGAAAGAAAAGAAAAGGAACAUAAUAGUGUGUGUGGAGAGUUAUAAGAAAUCUUAAAAGUGAGACCAAAUGUGGUUAGAACCAUAUUUUGUGAGAAAUGUGAGACUAGAAACCAAACCAAAUCCAUUUUUCUAAAUGUGAUUUCAAAUGGAUCCAAAUUCACAAUUUUGGUUUGGUUUGGAUUGGUUUAAUGGUUUUGCAUCCAUAUUGCCACCUCUAUGCGUAAUUAAUAUCAUGUUAAAGCUAGCUAGCUGUGCAGGCUCUUAUUAUCUAGCUUUUGCGAUUCUUUUGGGUGUAUGUAUAUAUGUCCUUUUGGAGGUGAUGAAUUGUUCUGUAUAUAUGCAACUAUUGCCACAGUCAUCACCGUUGUGGAAAUGAAUUUCUUAAAAACAGUGGCUUUUCGGUGGAAAAAAGUAAGGCUGUUCUACUGUAUAUGUCAUGUUUGGCAAUAACGAUAUUGCAUGAUAUUCAGUAAUUUAAUUGUUAAUGCUGCAGAGAUUCUGACAUACACUGUUGACAUUAAGGAUGAAAACAGGCCAUGCCCGUUCAGAUGAAAUCAGGCUGCGCCCAGCAGCUACAUGAUCAGAAUGAUAUCUAUAUUACAUUCUCAAAGAUAUCUAUAUUAUCUUAUAAUUUCUACGUUGGGAAUGGUAAAGUUCUUCAUUUCACUAGAGGUGGUCAAGAAGUGGGCACUGGAACUGUAUUAGACCUCCUUUUGGUAAUCUCAGCACCAACCCGCUCUAACCUUCCCUGUGACUGCAAGCCAAUGAGGUAUGUUAAAACAGGGAUCCAAUGCAUCAGGAUGAGGUAUGUUCAAUCAUAUGUUCAAUCUUUGUUGAAGUUAAUAUAAAUAUCAGUGCACCUAUUCAAUAAUGAUUUUGAAGCUCUGCAGAGACUUGGCAAACCUAGAGGAGGCUAUUUUGUAACUAAAACCUUUGAUUCGCACUAGUUCGUAUAACUUUUGUCUGUGUAGACUCAAAUGAUGUAAACAGGUGUUACAUCUAAUAUUGCCUUGAGAAUUUAUACCCUGCCAAGCAAAUGUUAAGAAUAUCCUUCUUUGCCGAUAUAAAUCAACCUUGGUAUGUGAUAUUGGCUUGAUUAGGUUGUGCAAAUAAUCUGAUUGACUUCUUUGUCUUGCUUUUUCUCUCUCUUUACUUUUGAAAAAAAACAUUUACUGAAAGAAACUUUCUUUAAUUUAUAGUAGAGACUUGGUUUUAUUAUAGUUUCUAUAGCACACAAAACUUACCUAGCACUUUUUGGAUUUUCAUAAAUGAUUCAUAUUGGUCCUGAUUCCUGAAGCUCCAAGGAAUUGUCUGAUGGAAGCGAGGUUCUUGAAAUUUAUGGCUAGAGCAACUACAUGGCUUUGUUUGGCAGCUUUGACUUAAUUGUUGAUGGUCGUUCAUUCAACAAUCUGCUUUAGUACAAGCAGAUUGUUUAAUAUAAGGGAAACGUUAAGAUGGUUUUGGUUGAAUAUAUUAGGUACUUUAGUUUGUAUGAAAAGUUAGUUUAUUGGGAUGUUUAAUAAUUUAAAUUAUAUUUUCAAUUUGAUUUAGUAGAUGAUGUUGCCUUUAAUAAAUUAAAUGUUGCAACUGAUACAGUGAAAUGUUGCAAAAUUGUUAUUCAAUGUUGGAGUAGCAUAUAUAACAAAAACAGAGCUUUUCUCGGUUUCGCAAGUUCUGCAAAUUAAUUCGUCGAAUCAAUUCAUCUCUGCCGAUCUCUGCUGCAACCUGGAGUGCACCAUAGACAGCAUCUUGGGUACAUAAAUCUGGUGAUGUAACAUCAGGGUUCUGAGAGAGAUUCUUGUAGUGUGUUAUAAACUCUCAAGCAUGGAUUUCGUUUUGCUGCUGAUAUCUCAAUGAUGUACAUUAAGACGGUUUCUUGAUUAGCAGAGUUAGCUUAUUGAUUCUGUUUGUGACCGUGUUCACAGGCUCCAGUGCUCUGCAACUGUUUAUACAAGUUGCAGAACCACCCUCUUGGUAAUAUUUCUUUCCCUCAAUUUUUCAUUCAAGCAAUGUUUUGACAUUUUCUUAUGGUUCAAUUGUUUAUUAGAAUUAUAACUCUUGGUAAAGUUUUUUGCUUUUUAGUUAGUGAAUUAUAUAGUAAAAGCUGUGAUUGGAUUCUAUUGGUUUUAUAUUAUGACAUUCAUCUCAAUUGCAUUGUUGUUAAUUUUUUGUGUUGAUUUCUAAGGCUUGAUUACUUUUCCGGAAAAACCAAAGCCUAUUUCUGAUAUAUUCUUGACAAAGAAGAUAUGGAGGAGAUGAAUAUUUUAUAGAAUAUUUUUAACUUGAUCAGAUUUAUGGGCUUGAUGUAUAAUGUUUUCGUAUUCUAUAUAGUAAUUUGUUUUAUCAAGUGGAAACACUCGAAUAAACAUAGGAAAGCUUAAAGGUGUUUAGUCAGGAAGAAAAAAUCAGUAGAAAGAUUGAGUUGGUUGAAAGAAAUUGGAGAAGGGUAUUUGAUGAGUCAAUUCAGUGUCUCCUCCAGCGGCAAAACAAGUGAGAACUUCUUGAACUUCUUGAACUUCAAACACGAGGAAUGACGGGGAAGGCUAUUUGCGCCCGUCUAGUAAUUUUCAGGGCUUGGAUUGAAUUGGGGCUUUACUGGAACUAGAGCUUCAACAGCUCUUAACUUUAAGAGGCGCUUCGGUUUUCUUUGAUCUAAGCAACUAUUACGGAACUUCUAUUGCUGACUACCACCGGAGCUGCACAAAAUGUCCGUAUGAUCUAUGCAUCGCUUGUUGUCGGGACUUGCGUGCUGGCUCUUUGCAUGCAGGUCAUCUGGGAAGCAUUAACCAAUAUAAAAACCUCAGGGUGGGCUAUUUACAUGGUGAAACAUGUAAACCUCGUAGCAAUAGAACUGUGGGCACAUCUACUGAAACAUCCCCUGAAGGCAAGACCUGAAUGGAGACCUAACAAGGAUGGUAGCAUCUCUUGUCCACCUAAGAGUAUUGGUGGGUGUGGUGGUAAAGGGAUUCUAAAGCUGAACCAAGUCUUGCCAGACGGUUGACUUUCAAACAAGAUAUUGAAAGCUGAAGACUUAUAUGAACUGUAUAAUCUGGAUGGCAUGCCAGAAGAUCCCAUACACUGGUGCUCGUGUUAUAAUUUGGCACGUGAUAACACGGCCACAAAGAAAAUAAGGAAAGCCACUUCUCGAGAAAACUCUGAUGACAACACUUCUACUCUCCAAGUUCUAUAGACAUUCAAGCCGGGGAUCGGAAGCAUUUUCAGACCCAUUGGUCAAAAGGGGAACCAGUGAUUGUUUCUAGUGUGCUUGACAGUACAUAUGGUUAAGCUGGGAACCAAUGGUGAUGUCUCGAGCAAUCCAUGAUAAGUCCCACACUGAUGUGACUGUCUUAAAUUGUUUGAGCUGGUGCGAAGAGGAAUAUAGCGUAAGUUCGUUCUUUAAAGGCUAUACAGAGGGUAUACUUGUCUGGCUGGCCCCAAAUGCUCAAGUUAAAUGAUUGGCCUCAAUCUGGUUUUUGAGGAUCAUCUCCCAUGUCAUAAUGUGGAGUUCUUAAGCGCUUUGCCUUUGAAGGAGUACACACAUCCACAGAGCGGCUACUUGAACCUUGCUGUCAAGUUACCCGAGGGCCAUCUGAAGCGAGACAAAGGGCCAAAGCUGUAUACUGCUUAUGGCUUUUCCCAGCAACUCGGACGUGGUGACUCUGUCUCAAAACUCAGCUAUCAUGAUUCAGAUGCGGUAUGAUCUAGUUUGUAAAUACAGUGAAUAACUUUCACAAACAAUGAAGAAAAUGCUCCAAAUUUACAACCCCACCCGAGUCAUCAUACUAAUAGUCCAUCCUGAGAUCAUAAUCAUUUUUGGUAAUUUUAUUCGGCAAGGUUUCUCAUGCUUUAUACAAUUGUCCAUGUGAUUUAAGCGAUCUAGUUAGUCUUACACUUUAUACUUUCAAAAAUUAUUAUAUUUGUUUUCCUUCUA